GGUAUAUAUUAACAUAGAGUGAGCCUUCACUCCGCCACCACUGACGACAAGAUCUCUUGGACUGGUUUGCGGUAUCUCUUUCUAGCACAAUGUAUCGAGAAACAUAACAUGAAAUUAAGUGGGGGUACGGGACGGCAAGUGAAAUAAGGAGAAUUACCUUCUUCUUUAUUUAUUAUGACAAGUGACAAGACAACAUAACCCAAAUAAUUUAAUCCAGCCCUAUUUCUAUUUUUGAACAAAAUGCUGGAAAUUGGAAAUAUCUUAGUUUAUUUUUAGUUCUAGCUUAUUUACGGCUAGAUUGAAAAUCUGAAUUUUCUAAUAUUGGUUCAUGAUUAUCAUCAGGGACUUGAUUCGGUUCUUAAACAGAAUCAAUGGCUCUCUGAAAAUAUGAUACUCCAUUGGUCACCCCAAGAGGAAUACAACAAAAUUGGUAAAGGCAUCCACUUUCCUCAAAAGCUGUAAAUGGUUUGUCAAAUUCAUGAAUUGGUAUUUGAUAAUACGCGUUUUUUAAAUCAACUACCAUCUGACGUUUAUGAUUUUCGUUUUUGAAAAAAAUGAUGUAUCACAGACUUAAAAUGCGUUUAUCUCAAACACAGUUAAGUUUAGCGAGAUGAAUGUAGUAUACUUUUUUAAAUAAAAAUAUUAACAUAAUAAAAAUUUUGAUUCAAAAAAUUGAACGUAUUAAAUGAGUACUGAAAGAUGUAUAUAGCUCUGUUUGGAAAAUAUAUCAUUUUUGGUGGCGAAUUUAGCUUUCUCGUCCCAAAAAACCCCCGCUUACCAAAUUUAGUGUUAUUAUCCCAUGCCUGUUAGGAAAUAUUCAAGAAUAAAUAAAAUAAAAGUUUAACUUUGACACCCUGUAUCUCGGUUAUUAUCAACUUUCGUACUAAGGUAAGUUAGCUUAAAUCAAACUAUUUUAACCCCAGGAAUCUAAGGUUAAGCUAUCGCCCAUUCUUUACCAAACACCCUGUAUAUCGUACUAGUGACGUCAUCCAUUUGGAUGUGAUGAUGUAAUCUACUAUUUUUUUUAAAUGGGAAUAGGGGUCGAGUGCUAGCUCAUUUAAAAGGUUAUUCAAUUCCAUAUUCAGUAAUAUAAACAUUAACAUGAUUAAUUAUACAGAGUGUCCAAAGAAUUUUUUUAAAUUAAAUUAAUUGACACAAAAAGAAGAAUGAGCUAGCACACGAUCGCUAUUCUCAUUUAAAAAAUAGUCGAUUACGUCAUCACGCCCAGAUGGAUGACAUCACUAGUAUGUUGUAUACAGUAGAACCCCGAAAAUCCGAACUAAUUGGGGGGACAGCCUGUUCGGAUUCUGAAAAGUUCGGAUUAUCUGAAAGUCAGCCUAACUAGUAAUUCAAAGCUCUCCUGCAAAACGUGUAACCUGACUAUGAGAAAACCGAAGUAAAUUUAUGUUUAACCUUUAUAAGAGAUGUUCAGCAGACAUCAAGAAAUCAUUACUUUUCUAUUCACCCAUUAUUACCCAAAUGUAUACCUCAUUUUAACUACAAUUAUAACAAAGUACAUUCCUCAUGAAUAACCCGGCUAAAACUUACCCAUGGACUUUUUCCAGAGCAUCUACAUAGGAUUGGAAUCUAUGAAACUCCCUUCUGUUCCUGUAACCAUGAGUCCAUCGGGGAUCUGAACAUGUAUUCUUUGAUUGUCUUAAUCAUAGGGAUCAGACUCAAAACUUAUAUUUAGGUUUAAUUAACCUUAACAUUAGCCUUCCAGUUAGCAUCAGCAAUCUUUUAUCUUAUUCUGACAAAUCUAUAUUUAAUAUCUUAAUCAAGUUUCUAAAUGAUUCUAAGAUAAAAAUUUAAACAUAUCUAUAACAAAAUUCUGUGGAAAAAAGACUCUUUGUCUAAUGCCAUCUCUUUGGCACGCACCACACACACACACACACACACACACACACACACACACACACACACACACACACACACACACACACCACACCACACCACACCACACCACACCACACCACACCACACCACACCACACCACACCACACCACACCACACCACACCACACCACACCACACCACACCACACCACACCACACCACACCACACACCACACCACACCACACCACACCACACAACACACAACAACACACACCACACCACACAACACACAACCUUUAUAAUCAUUACAUAUAAAGUACCUACGUAUUUAUUUUUAAGAAAUUUUAAAUGUCAAAGUCCUACUAAUCCAAUAUUGUUCAAUUUUCUGGUUAUAAUCUAUAUAAUAAACAUGUAUUUAAGUUUUUGUCUUAAAUUUUUUAAAAAAAUUUCACUUUCCGUUAGUUUGGAUUUGUGGGGUUCUACUGUAUGUCAAAAAUAUAUAUGGGGGGGGGGGUGGUCAAAAUAUAGUGAAUAACCCUGUACAUCAAGAAAUUUACUACCAACGUCUCUGUUACUGAAUAUAUCACUAAGUACAGGGCAACCUAUUUAAAACUUAAAAAAUCAGCUAAAAAAUUAUACUAUCAAAAUCAUCUGAGAAGCUUUAAAAGUGUUGCAAAAGAAAUUUGGUCCAUAAUAAACAAUCUUCGAAAUCAAACUCACACAGCUCAAACAUUUUCCCUUCCAGACCAUGAAUACUUUAUUAAUGUGAGUAAAAUUAUAACAUGAACUAUUUUGUCACAAGAGAUCAAUUUUGUUAAGAUGUAGUUGAUUAAUCUGAACUGAUCCAAACAAUCAAUAGUAUCAAAAGCAAAUCUUCCUGUAGUACUGAUGGACUAUCCAUAAAAAUUGUCAUAAAAAUCUCCCAGAAAAUGUGUUGGGAGUCCUCAUCCCACUAACGACUCUUUUAAGGGGCUAUCCUAGUGUAAAAGAACGAAAUUCACAUACUUUUUUUGGGAAUAUCUAAAAUAAAAAGUACUGUACCAAUUGUUUUGAAAAUUUGCAUGACCAUUUAUUAUAAAAAGAAGUACAAGUAAAACAAUUUUCAUAAAAAAAAAUAAUGAAAAUUUAACGAUUUAUGCCCUAUCUACUGGCACAGUGAAAAUAAAAAACAUGGCUCCACUGCUGCAGUGAUUGGGACUAAUAGAGAUCCUGAAUUAUAAACUUGCAGUGAUUAUUGAAAUAUAAGUUAUUUCCUAUGUCCUAUACCAUCAAUUAGGAUUUUUGGAAAAAUGACAAAGUGUUGAAAUUUUUUUUAAAUUAGCUAGAACAUUUUCAGUUUCAAAAACCGCCAAAUUGACAUUUUUUAUCCGAUUAAAAAAAUCCCUAUUUGAUGGUAUAGAAAAUAACCUAUAUUUCAAUAAUAACUUUGAUAUUUUAUGUUUCAGGAUCUCUUUUAGUCCCAAUCACUGCAGCAGUGGAGCUAUGUUUUUAUUUUCACUGUGCCAGUAGAUGGCGAAUAAAUCGUUUAAUUUUCAAUAUUUUUUUAUGAAAAUUGUUUCACAUGUACUUCUUUUUAUAACAAAUGUUCAUGCAAAUUUUCAAAAUAAUUGGUACAGUAUUUUUUAUUUUAGAAAUUCCCAAAAAAGUAUAUGAAUUUCAUACUUUUACACUAGGAUAGCCCCUUAAGAAAGGUAAAUUUCUAGAGCUGCCUAAAGACAGCCAUCAUUAUUCCUCUUCGUAAGGGUGGUGAAAAAUCUAAUGCCUGCAAUUAUAGACCUAUUGCAUUACCACUGGUACUCUCAAAUAGGACUCAUAAUACACAAGUAUAAAAACUUGUUGCUGGUAUGAGCACAUUGUGUAAAUGUUAGGAUUUAAAGAGGAUAUAAAAACUUCAAUACGAUUAUGAGCGUUAGUCUCUUUAUAUCCUAACAUUUUUUUGUUGUUUUAAUUUAUUAUUGUUUUAUUGUGUUUAUUAUUGUUUUUUAUGACUCUUUGUAAGUUUUGUGUAUAAAUUGUACAAUUUUCCAUGACAAUAAAGCAUUUUUCUAUUUUAA
rnacentral:lncRNA from 1 species